UUAAAAGCCAGUGCCUCGGGGUGCGGAAGUGAGCGGGGGGAGGAGGGCAGGAGGUGGGUGUUGGGUGGGCAGGGACAGCGGGAGCCGGGCUGAGGUCGGGGUCGUGUCCCCCCAGGAAGAAGAAGAAGAAGACCCGGGGGACCACUUCAAGCUUCGUUUCCGGAAGAAACUUCCAGGCCCUGCUGGAGGAGCAGGUAGCCGGCGGGGCGGGCGGGGAGGGGUGGCCGGCCCUGGCGUGGGGGAGGGACGGAGGGGGUGAUGGAGCGUCCGUCCGCCCGUCCGUCCGUCGGUCCCGCGCAGAACUGAGCACGGCGGAGGGCCCCAACUACGUGACGGCGUGUGCGGCUCCGGUCGUCGCGGCCCCAGCGGCCGUUCUGCGCCGUGUGCGGCUUCCCCUCCCCCUACACCGUGCGUGUCCUGCGGGGCCCGCUACUGCACCGUGCGCUGCCUGGGCACCCACCACGAGACCCGGUGUCUGAAGUGGACGGUCUGAGCAGAGGCGCCAGGAACUCCGCUUUCCCUUCCCCACCCCGAGUCUUUGGAGCCCCCUCCUCGAAGGGGCGAGCCCAGGGCUGCACAAACCCCCCGCCUCCCGUCCCCCACCCCACCGUCUGUGUAAAUAAAGCUGUGCACCCAGGAGCUGGAGUGACUGGGUGUCUUCAGGGGGGCAGCCAAACUGGGGAGCUGGGGGGUGCCCCUCUUUGGGCAGAUGUGUUACCACAGACGGGACCCCCUCCCCUCAGCCCAGCAUAGGCACAGCCCCGGACUGAGGGCGCCUGGGGGGGAUAGAAGGGAAGGAGCACGGAAAGCAGUGUGGCCGAGCGGCUAGAGCGUGGGCGUGGGAGUCAGGAGGACCUGGGUUCCAAACCCGGCUCCGCCACGUUUUUGUGUUUUUUUAAAUGGUAUUUGUACAACACUUACUGUGUGUCCAAACCAUUCUGAGCACCUCAGUCAGUCCAAGUGAGUUAAGCCGGACACAGUUACUCUGUCCCGCGUGGGGCUCACGGGAGGGAGAAUGGGUAUCCCCAUUUUACAGUUGAAGAAACCGAGGCACGGAGAAGUGACGUGAGUUGCCCAGGGUCAACCCAACAAGCAGCCGGCAGAGCCAGGGAUUAGAACCCAGGUCCUUCCGACUCCUGUGCUUUCUCCGAGGGGGCUGUGCUCUGUUCUGAGCGCUCGGGUACCAUCUCUAGACCGAGCUCGUCGCGGGCAGGGAACGUAACCGUUUACUGUUCAGCUAUCCUAUCCUAAGCGCUCAGUACAAUGCCCUGCACACAGUAAGCGCUCAAUAAAUCCGACCGAAUGAAGAAUGCGUGGCCCCCGCCCACGAGCAGCUCGCGCCGAGGGGGGAGGCAGAUGCCAGGAUCUUUACCGAUAACGGAGGCAGAAUCGAUAAUUGAAUCAUCGAACAGUCGAGUAGACGUAAGUCCAAGGGCCGAGGAAGGCUAUAGAUGAUUGUCGGGGCUGAGGUGGCUGGGAAGAUGGAGAGGAUUUGGGGCGUUGAGAAUGGCGGGGAAAGGUUUAGAAGGGGGGGGAUUCGGGGAGGGUUUUGAUGAGAGAUGGGGGAGCCAUCCCUCGAUUGGCACAGACAGGGCUAUCGUGGGGCACAUUGGGGGGGCUGAGGGGGAGUGAAGGUUGUGAGCAGGGGAGGGGUGGGUGAGGUGAGCCAAUGUGCAACAUCAUCAUCAUAAUUGUGGUUUCUGUUAAGCGUUUAGUGUCAAGCACAGUACCAAGUGCCGGGGUAAGAUACGAGGUCAUCCGGUCCCAUGUGGGGCUAACAGUCUAAAUAGGAGGGAGAAAAGGU
rnacentral:lncRNA from 1 species